rnacentral:rRNA from 1 species
UACGUAGGUGGCAAGCGUUUGUCCGGAUUUAUUGGGUUUAAAGGGUGCGUAGGCGGCUUUGUAAGUCAGUGGUGAAAUAUGGCAGCUUAACUGUCAGGGGUGCCAUUGAUACUGCGGAGCUUGAGUACAGAUGAGGUAGGCGGAAUUGACGGUGUAGCGGUGAAAUGCUUAGAUAUCGUCAAGAACACCUAUAGCGAAGGCAGCUUACUAGGCUGUAACUGACGCUGAGGCACGAAAGUGUGGGGAUCAAACAGG